GAAAAAACCUACUUUGCUUUUAAUGGUAACCAAGGAAAUCUGUGUGGUGUAACCGUGAACGUUGGUGAAGAAACACUGGGACACUUCAUGGACAUGGAGGUCACUGCAGUGUAAGAGCUGGAGGAAUAGAGCAUUCUCUGCUGAACACUAAACACAGGAACGCAGCAGCUAAGCAAAGGGGGAGAGAGAAGAGAUGAUUGGAACCAGCAGGAGGGUCUUUAGAUUCAAAAUGAGAGCACCAGGAACCAGAUUGUGCCAUCACAGCUUUACAUUAGACUAAAGCAGCAUCGGUGGUCUGUCAUGAAGUCUUC